rnacentral:misc_RNA from 1 species
GACUGUCACCGGAAUGCCAAUCACCGUGUGACUAGUUUGAGGAGCUUUUUGAUGAUUUGAAUCUGAUAACAUUUGACUGCCUGCCAAUGGAAAACCAGUUAACUUUAUCGCAAGAUUGACAAUUCCUUGCCCUCUUGUACCAUCUCUAGCCCGUAUCCUGUAACUCAGGUGCAUAACUGAACCCUCCGGUCGGAAUCCAAUAUCGGUGACUGGAAUCUGGCACCAACCCAAUAGA